GCAGUCGUAGCGUAGAGGUAGCGUUCGACCCUUCCAAGGUCGAGGCCCGGGUUCGAUUCCCGGCGACUGCA
rnacentral:tRNA from 1 species